rnacentral:tRNA from 1 species
GCGGGUGUAGUUUAAUGGUAGAACUUCAGCCUUCCAAGCUGAUUGUGAGGGUUCGAUUCCCUUCACCCGCU